rnacentral:lncRNA from 1 species
UACUACUUCCUUAGCAGUGGGGGCUAUUGCUUUCAAGGGUUGAAGGUUGCCGUCAACGUCCUCCGACCACUGCCGCCUGCCCCGGCACCGACGUCUACUUCUACUACUACUACUUUUUCUUCAUCACUACUCCUCCUCCUGUUGCUGCUUUUCAUUAUAAUUUAGUACUAGUGCCUUGCUAUUCAUUUUGAACAUUUGAACAUUUGGAAGGAGCGUUUUGUUUGAAUUUUUAGGCAGUGAAUUUGUUUGAUUAAAUAGCACUUGCAGACUUGAUUGCAUUAAUAUGAUUCUCCAUAAGUCUUUAAAAUUUGCAAAACAUGUUAAGACUGGUUGUUACACAUUUUCUUGGAGGUUUCUUGAGCUUUCUUUUGGCAGGAUAUUACACAUUAAAUAUAGUUACACUGUAAAAUGUACACAGUUAUUAAUAUUGAAUUUGUUGAUUCUGUAGACAUAUUGGUCUUUUGGUGAAAACAGGAUUUGAACUGUAUGAGAUCUAAUCUUCUAUUGUUCUUUACUAGUUCAGAAAUCCAAAAGGAACUCGAAAUCGUCUAGAAAUUAAGACAAUUAAAUUUCGUUAAAAUAGUUUCAUUAUAGGACUUCAAGUAUAAGGGAAGAACGUAAUAUAGUUAUAGUAUUUUUAUGAAACCGAUUAAUUAGUAGAUUUUUUUGAUAUCACGUAUAUGUCUUUAAUAAUUCAGAAAUAAAGAUAAAAGUAAAAAAGAGUUCAAUGAAGUAAGAAAUCUUACAAUUAAUUACACCUCAAAAGCCCUCGAUUUGGUUUGCAAUAUGCAAAGCAUGACCUGGUAGUUAUGCUGAAGAAAAGACAAACUUCAUCCAAUACGAUCCAACAUGAUAUCUUUAUUUCUCGAGCACACAUCAAAGAUUUUCUUGUAGAGUUGUAAAAGCGAUAAUUAUAACAUAAAAU